UACAGAGGUCUCAAGCGUUGUUCGGAUUCAUUGGGCGUAAAGGGUGCGUAGGCGGCGCGGUAAGUCGGGUGUGAAAUCUUGGAGCUUAACUCCGAAACUGCAUUCGAUACUGCCGUGCUUGAGGACUGGAGAGGAGACUGGAAUUUACGGUGUAGCGGUGAAAUGCGUAGAUAUCGUAAGGAACACCAGUGGCGAAAGCGGCUUCCUGGUCCAGCACCGACGUUCAGGCACGAAAGCGUGGGGAGCAAACAGG
rnacentral:rRNA from 1 species